UACGUAGGGGGCGAGCGUUGUCCGGAAUUAUUGGGCGUAAAGAGCGUGUAGGCGGCCUGGUAAGUCUGUCGUGAAAUGCUGGGGCUCAACCCUGGACGUGCGAUGGAUACUGCUAGGCUAGAGGAUGGUAGAGGCGAGUGGAAUUCCCGGUGUAGCGGUGAAAUGCGCAGAUAUCGGGAGGAACACCAGUAGCGAAGGCGGCUCGCUGGGCCAUUCCUGACGCUGAGACGCGAAAGCAUGGGGAGCGAACAGG
rnacentral:misc_RNA from 1 species